rnacentral:lncRNA from 1 species
CCUAUUUUAUUUUGGAAGAAUUCAACUCCCAAAAGCUCACACUUUUAAGGAUUUGAAUUUACAAAUUUUCUAAAAUUUAUUUGGACUUAUUUGGAGUUACUAAUCAAAAGUUAUUAAUAAAAACAGAAAAUAGAAAAGGAAAAAAAAAGAGAGUUUGGACCGACCCAAACUGGGCCGGCCCAACUUACCUAGCGCCCCAGCCCAGCCGGCCGUCUUCCUCCUUCCGCACCCACGAGCAGGCAUGCACACGCAAUCUCCUCCGCAAUCCCCGCCCUUCCUUAUUCCGUUUCGCGUCCAGGUGCUAUGAACCUAAGCCCACUACUCUCUUCUUUCCAUUCCUCUCCUUAACUUCCCCGAAUCAUGGCUUCCAAUACCAUUAAGCGCUGGUGCCCCGAAUGCCGCCCGUUGGCAUCCCGCUCCCGAUCUUCUUCCAUGAC